GCUCAGGACGAACGCUGGCGGCGUGCCUAACACAUGCAAGUCGAGCGGUCUAAGUAAGCAACCUAGUUGAGAACUUAGAUAGCGGCGGACGGGUGAGUAACGCGUGGAGAACCUGCCUUGUAGAGGGGGAUAGCCUCGGGAAACCGGGAUUAAUACCCCAUGACACUGAAAUACCGCAUGGUAUUUGAGUCAAAGCGAGCAAGCGCUACAAGAUGGCUCCGCGUCCCAUUAGCUAGUUGGUGAGAUAACAGCUCACCAAGGCGACGAUGGGUAGCCGACCUGAGAGGGUGAUCGGCCACAUUGGGACUGAGACACGGCCCAAACUCCUACGGGAGGCAGCAGUGGGGAAUAUUGCGCAAUGGGGGNAACCCUGACGCAGCAACGCCGCGUGAGCGAAGAAGGCCUUCGGGUCGUAAAGCUCUGUGAUAAGGGAAGAAGAAAUGGCAGUACCUAAAAGGAAGCCCCGGCUAACUACGUGCCAGCAGCCGCGGUAAUACGUAGGGGGCGAGCGUUGUCCGGAAUUACUGGGCGUAAAGGGUGCGUAGGCGGCCAAAUAAGUCAGAUGUGAAAGUCCAAGGCUCAACCAUGGAAUAGCAUUUGAAACUGUAUGGCUUGAGUGCAGGAGAGGAGAGCGGAAUUCCUAGUGUAGCGGUGAAAUGCGUAGAGAUUAGGAAGAACACCAGUGGCGAAGGCGGCUCUCUGGACUGUAACUGACGCUGAGGCACGAAAGCGUGGGUAGCGAACAGGAUUAGAUACCCUGGUAGUCCACGCCGUAAACGAUGAGUGCUAGGUGUCGGGAGGAAUCUCGGUGCCGGAGUUAACACAAUAAGCACUCCGCCUGGGGAGUACGACCGCAAGGUUAAAACUCAAAGGAAUUGACGGGGGCCCGCACAAGCAGCGGAGCAUGUGGUUUAAUUCGAAGCAACGCGAAGAACCUUGCCAGGGCUUGACAUCCCUUGACGACCUAAGAGAUUAGGUGUUCUCGGUAUACGGGACAAGGAGACAGGUGGUGCAUGGUUGUCGUCAGCUCGUGUCGUGAGAUGUUGGGUUAAGUCCCGCAACGAGCGCAACCCUUAUAUUUAGUUGCCAGCAAGUAAAGUUGGGCACUCUAAAUAGACUGCCGGCAAGAAGUCGGAGGAAGGUGGGGAUGACG
rnacentral:rRNA from 2 species